rnacentral:rRNA from 1 species
CCUACGGGUGGCAGCAGUGAGGAAUAUUGGUCAAUGGGCGGAAGCCUGAACCAGCCAAGUCGCGUGAGGGAUUAAGGCCCUGCGGGUCGUAAACCUCUUUUGCCGGGGAGCAGUGGUCCGGACGCGUCCGGACCGGGAGAGUACCCGGAGAAAAAGCAUCGGCUAACUCCGUGCCAGCAGCCGCGGUAGUACGGAGGAUGCGAGCGUUAUCCGGAUUUAUUGGGUUUAAAGGGUGCGCAGGCGGAGGUGCAAGUCAGCGGUCAAAUUUCGGGGCUCAACCCCGUACUGCCGUUGAAACUGCAUCCCUUGAGUGCGCUAGAAGUAUGCGGAAUGCGUGGUGUAGCGGUGAAAUGCUUAGAUAUCAUGAAGAACUCCGAUCGCGAAGGUAAGUGUCCGGGGUGCAACUGACGCUGAGGCUCGAAAGUGCGGGUAUCAAACAGGAUUAGAUACCCUAGUAGUC